rnacentral:rRNA from 1 species
UACAGAGGUCUCAAGCGUUGUUCGGAUUCAUUGGGCGUAAGGGUGCGUAGGCGGCGCGGUAAGUCGGGUGUGAAAGUCAAGGGCUCAACCCUUGAAUGCCGGUGGAUACUGCAGGGCUAGAGUCCGGAAGAGGCGAGUGGAAUUCCUGGUGUAGCGGUGAAAUGCGCAGAUAUCAGGAGGAACACCGAUGCGAAGGCAGCUCGCUGGGACGGUACUGACGCUGAGGCGCGAAAGCGUGGGGAGCAAACAGG